rnacentral:misc_RNA from 1 species
UGUAGAAUCUUGCCGGUAUCAAUUCUAAUUGAACAGUUGUGGGUCGAAGAUGAGUCUUGAUUCAAAUCGUAAGAUUAAAUAGCUUUUAGUACUGGUUUGUUUUUCCAAUUAGAAGUCAUGUGAAAGUAUUUAAGAAUGUAAGCUAUCAUAGAUUUGCCGGAGUUCGUGAUUGAACAUAUCUAGACUUCAAGAGUGUUUCUGGAUUUUUUCGUGUUUCGUCGUCUGGUGCUUCGUUGUUGCUGCAAGGAUUCGAAUCGUGGUCUUUCCAGGGUUUGCCGGCGUUGCUUUGUCGUGUACAGUUCGUGACGCUGUUUCAAACUGGGUUGGGGCAGUCUGUGGUUUUGAGGUGGAUUCCGUACCUUAGGUGUUGACUUGGUGGGUUUGCCGUUCGUCGUGUUGGAAAUGUGGCAUUCGAGUGGCGCUGUGUCGCUGUUCUAGCCUUGGAUCUGCUGUGGCGAUCAUCUGCAGACGUUUCCUUAUGGGUCUGGUGUCACGUUCACCGUGGGGUCGGAACGGCGUGUGGUGUUCUUAUCGAACUGUAUGCUUCCAGACUUCAGGUGUUCUGCUGGUGGGGUUGUCGAUUCAGUUUUUCGGCGUGUACGGAGUGCGGCAAUUACUUCAUGCCAUGCAGUUUCCCUUGCUGUUGUGGUGUAAUUCGCUUUUCUUUUCGCAUUUUGCUAUUCGGAUGAUUAACUCUUAUACCGCCCCAGACUGAAGGGUUGUGUUGAGUGGUAACACGCUGACCGUAGUUGCGUUCAUACGAAGUUUUUCCACUGUGUAUCGAAAUUAAUGGUGGUGUGUUUAAUUUUUCUUCAGGGUUUGCUGUGGCAAAUUGCUGUCGGCAUAUCGUCAUGGCGCCAUUAUGGGUAAUUUGUUUCAUGCUGCAAAUGCCUUGUGUUCCAGAAUUGCGACGUGGGG